GUGUCAGCAGCCGCGGUAAUACGUAGGUGGCUAGCGUUAUCCGGAUUCAUUGGGCGUAAAGCGAGCGCAGGCGGCUCGGUAAGUCAGAUGUGAAAUCUCCCGGCUUAACUGGGAGGGGUCAUCUGUUACUGCCAGGCUUGAGGACAGUAGAGGGAGACGGAAUUCCCGGUGUAGUGGUGAAAUACGUAGAUAUCGGGAGGAACACCAGUGGCGAAAGCGGUCUCCUAGGCUGUUUCUGACGCUUAGGCUCGAAAGCGUGGGGAGCAAACAGGAUUAGAUACCCUGGUAGUCCACGCUGUAAACUAUGAACACUUGACAUGGGGAGUAUCGACCCUCCCCGUGCCGAAGCCAACGCGUUAAGUGUUCCGCCUGGGGAGUACGGUCGCAAGACUAAA
rnacentral:rRNA from 1 species